AUCGUCGCAAAGGGGAGCUAUAUGCUGAGAGUGAUUAAGUUCAGACCCUUGGAACCUGUUUGUUAGUACAAGCGUAGGGAUUUGUGGUGAGUGGUGCA
rnacentral:ncRNA from 1 species